GGUUUUUUAGUCAAGCAUGAUUUUAAAUUGCAAAUUUAAAGGUAGAUAGUAAUAUCUCUAAACCU
rnacentral:tRNA from 1 species